GAGGGUGCUGCGGUCCCCCAGCACGCGCACCCAGCUGUUGACCACCUCGUCGGCGGGCUUGGAUGCGAACCCCACGAUGUCGCCCACGUCGGGGGGGAACCGGGAGGUCCAGGUCUGGGCCGUGGCGUAACUCGGCGCUCCGAACUUUCCGGACGGCAGCAGCGAGUACCCGCGAAUCUCGGACGCCGCCUGGUCCACGGUGAAGUA
rnacentral:SRP_RNA from 11 species